GACGAACGCUGGCGGCGUGCUUAACACAUGCAAGUCGAACGGAAAGGCCCUGCUUUUGUGGGGUGCUCGAGUGGCGAACGGGUGAGUAACGCGUGAGUAACCUGCCCUUGACUUUGGGAUAACUUCAGGAAACUGGGGCUAAUACCGGAUAGGAGCUCCUGCUGCAUGGUGGGGGUUGGAAAGUUUCGGCGGUUGGGGAUGGACUCGCGGCUUAUCAGCUUGUUGGUGGGGUAGUGGCUUACCAAGGCUUUGACGGGUAGCCGGCCUGAGAGGGUGACCGGCCACAUUGGGACUGAGAUACGGCCCAGACUCCUACGGGAGGCAGCAGUGGGGAAUAUUGCACAAUGGGCGGAAGCCUGAUGCAGCAACGCCGCGUGCGGGAUGACGGCCUUCGGGUCGUAAACCGCUUUCGCCUGUGACGAAGCGUAAGUGACGGUAAUGGGUAAAGAAGCACCGGCUAACUACGUG
rnacentral:rRNA from 1 species